rnacentral:rRNA from 1 species
UACAGAGGUGGCAAGCGUUGUUCGGAAUUACUGGGCGUAAAGGGCGCGUAGGCGGCCUUGUAAGUCCUGUGUGAAAUCCCCCGGCUCAACUGGGGAACUGCACAGGAGACUGCUUGGCUUGAGUUCGGGAGAGGGAAGACGGAAUUCCGGGUGUAGGCGGUGAAAUGCGUAGAAUAUCCGGAGGAACACCGGUGGCGAAGGCGGCUUCCUGGACCGACACUGACGCUGAGGCGCGAAGACCAGGGGAGCAAACGGG